rnacentral:lncRNA from 1 species
CUGUUGAACCGAGGCUUGUUUUUAUAGCAAUUAGGUUCCAUUAAAAAUGUUAUUUUGAAGAUGGCUGUCUUAACUGGAUCUAUCCCAAGGCACGCAUUUACUGAUGUACACAGCAGUGCUGAACUGUAUAAUUCCAGGUUCGUGAGCCACAAAAAUAUUGUGCAAGUUAGUUCAAAAUGGAUUGAAACAUUAUUAGAUGAUGGGAGAGGAGGGAAAAUAAUCUCCAGAGACUGUGUGCGAAGACAGAAGACUUCUGCUUUAGGAAAUACCAAAUCAAGACUGAUUUGAUAAUCAGAGAGAGAAAAUGGUGUUUCCAAAAAUCACAGGAAACACUUGAAGCAAGACAUUUUGGCACUUUUGAUGGAUAUUGAGUAGAAAGCAUGAGAUGGUGCUAUACAGAGAAGAGUCACAGAAGUAACAGUCUCAACAACCAAAGCUAACAGAGAAACAGUUCCUCACUGAAAGAACUUUUCUUUCUGUAAAACACGAGAAGUGUUAGUGUUGAAAACAAACCUUUUGUGGAUAUAGAUUAAAGGGA